rnacentral:rRNA from 1 species
GAAUUUUAUAUAUUUUUAUUUAAUAAAAUUUAUAUUGAAAUAAAUAAGAAGAUAUUUUAUUGGGAGGAUAGUUAAAUAUAAAAAACUUUAAUUAAAAUUGAAAUAUAAAUUAAUAAAUUUAAGAAUGAUUAAAUAAAUUAAUUAAAAAUUAAUUACCUUAGGGAUAACAGCGUAAUAUUUUUGGAGAGUUCAUAUUAAUAAAAAUGUUUGC